GUUUGCUGGGUUCUGAAUCAAGUAUCCAAAAGUGAGCAAACUUUAUCCACUGUGCUAAAGAGUCUGAAGUGGAAAGAAAAUACACAAAUGACAGAAGCUCAAGUUUAUUCCUUGGCAUUAAGUAAGCAAGCCAGCCAGGAACGAGAUGCUAAACAGAGAAGCCAUCCACAAUGAUGUAUCAAUAAGACAGCAAAUGUUUAUAAGCUGUGCCCAGCGGAUACAAAUGGAUAGAAAGCUACUACAAUGAUAUAGUUAAGAAAUAUUAAAUCAAGAAGAAGCUUCAACUCAUCGCCUUCAGCUACCAGCACCUCCAAAUCUAGUCAUAAAUUCUUCUGCUUACAAGCAUAUUGAUGUGAAAGGAAUGUAUCAGCCAGUUGUUCAUGGUAUGGAACCCCAACUAAAAAGAAGCAAGAAUCCAAAAGCCUCUCAGAGGAAAUCAAUGCAAUUUUCCUUUAAAAUGUUGAAUGUGUUAUAAAAUUGACACUAGCUUAAUGGAAAUCAUAUGUCUUAAUUCUUUGUUCCCUAUAAAUGUCAUGCUCUAUAUUCUAUUUAGAUUUUUUGUAAUUCACUUUAUUUGGAAAUUUGAGAUUAAUAUUGGCUACAUUUUUGUUGUAUAUGCUAAAUUGAGAAGAGAUUUCAAAUACUUUUCAUUGAAAACUUAUUCAAGAAUAAUAACACAGCAUCUAUACUAUUUCCUCUAAAUUUUGUCAACUGUUUAUUUUCACUAUGA